ensembl:lncRNA
AGGAUGGCAUAUAUGUAACGGCAGAUUCCAGCUUCAAUUACAAUGCCUCUCCAAGGGUCUAAACAACAGUAGAAAUCCGAGAACUGACCUGUGAAAACUCCUUUAUUUUGCCCUACGCUGGAGCCAACAGAGGCUUUGAUGGAAGUCCUUUCCCUGUCACCUGGAGAGAGGCUGAGCCACUCUGUCUAUAUGGCACUUAACCACGGCUCUCAGACAAACACAGAGGAUGCAGCAUGGACACGGAACGUCCGUCAUGGCCGACUAACAGAAAAUAGACCCCUCAAGCCCUAUUACUCUCUCCUCUGUCAGGAAGGAGUUAACCCCGCAAAGACUGAACAUUAGGGUCAAAUGUUAACAGAGCAUGUAAUUAAUGUCAUGAGUCCCCUUGACCAAUGAGGCGGACUCGCGCUGUCUGUUCUCAACUAGCCAACAGGAUCAGAGCGUGCAGGAAUUCAUUCAGAUCUCAUAAUCAAUAAG